UCGUGGCGUGAGUUGUCUACUUAACUGUGAUAACGAACGAGACCUUAACCUGCUAAAUAGCCGGGCUAGCUUUGGCUGGUCCCCGGCUUCUUAGAGGGACUUUCGGCUCAAGCCGAAGGAAGUUUGAGGCAAUAACA
rnacentral:rRNA from 1 species